CGGGGUGAGUAAUGCUUGGGAAUCUAGCUUAUGGAGGGGGAUAACUACGGGAAACUGUAGCUAAUACCGCGUAGUAUCGGAAGAUGAAAGUGUGGGACCUUCGGGCCACAUGCCAUAGGAUGAGCCCAAGUGGGAUUAGGUAGUUGGUGAGGUAAAGGCUCACCAAGCCGACGAUCUCUAGCUGGUCUGAGAGGAUGACCAGCCACACUGGGACUGAGACACGGUCCAG
rnacentral:rRNA from 1 species